ACGGUGCCGAAGAAAGCACGAAAGAACCAGAAGCAAACUCAGAAAGUGAGAAAGAAGUCUCGACAACUGUUGCGGAAGCAGGAGAAAAAGACAAGAGCAAAGAGGAGAAAGCAGAACCAAUGGAAGUAGACGCACCUGAUGCACCUUCAAAACCAACUCCUACACCAACCCCUGAAUCAAAUAGUUCUUGUGUCAAGAGUGAAGAAAAAAGUAAAGAGCCGGAAAAGAAAGAAGAGAAGCCAGUUGAACCCCCAGUAGAAGAAACUAAAAAAGAAAAUACAGAAAAUACAUCACCAGUUGUUGAAAGCGGAGACCAAAAACCUGCCGUAGAAGAAGAAAAGUCAGUUAAAUCAGCUGUUUCAGAGGAAAGUGCACCUCCGAAAACAGAAGCAGACCCUGUGUCAGAGCCUGUUAGCUGUCCGUUAAUCCCUCCCACGGCGAACUAAACUUCCUCAUUCUCUGUUGACUGCAUUUUGUACAUUAUUUCCUGAUUCCAAAAAGUUCAUCUGUAGUACUAAUGACGCAAGUUUUUUUGUUCGUUUUCCUUUAUUUCAUGUCGAAAUUGUAAAGAAGAGCACGUUGAACCUUACCAAAAUUGAACUGGAAACUACGUAUUAUAUUUUGAAUCAGCUUGUAACUAAUCUUUAUUAAGAGGCUUCGGUCCUCUGUAUGUAAUAUUUUUAAACCCAUAAUUUUACACUAUGAUGUUAAUGUCUAGUAAAUUAAUGUUGCAUCUUGUCCUACGAGGCUAAUUCUUUACUUUUUGUCUGUGAGUAGCGUUCGACCAAAAUCCUUGUACAUUAAUUUCUUUUUGUCAAGCGCCCCUCAUGGAUCUCUUAAUUCUGAUCAAGAAGACGAACCUCUUGAUCCUAGCUGCUUUCUCUUGAUGAGAAAUAUUUGAAAGUUUGUGAACAACAUCAUACACGAGAGUAAAGAAUCAGAUCUCCUUGAUAUAUCUCUCAUUUCUAAGUUUUCCUCAUUUUGAUUUUUUAAGCUGAUGUUAAAUUUUUCUUUUACAUUAUUUUACUUUUCCUUUUCCCUUAUUUCAAGGAAUUUUGUUCUUUCUUUCAAUGUGUUAUAAACUUCAGAUUUUGUGUUUGUGUAUGAAAGGGGGAAAAUUUAUUCAGAAUAAAUAAGUCAUUUUUAUUGUAAUAUAAAGAAUUGGAAAGAUUUUUUGGUUUGCAUUUUCACUACUUCUAAUUCCCAUCAACUUGCUUUUGCUUCAUGCUAUCCCUAACUUGAUUAACUACCAGCCAGGUUUAAAAAUUAAACACCAGAACACAUAUAAUUUAUCUUUGAUGAAACUGCAGGAGUGCGUACCUCGUUUGCUGUGCUUAAAAAUCUGU
rnacentral:lncRNA from 1 species